AAAGGAAUAGACGGGGGCCCGCACAAGCAGUGGAGUAUGUGGUUUAAUUCGAAGCAACGCGAAGAACCUUACCGGGGCUUGACAUGGGGACGACAGGUGCAGAGAUGUGCCCUUCUUCGGACGUCCCACACAGGUGGUGCAUGGUUGUCGUCAGCUCGUGUCGUGAGAUGUUGGGUUAAGUCCCGCAACGAGCGCAACCCUUAUUAUUAGUUGCUACAUUCAGUUGAGCACUCUAAUGAGACUGCCGUUGGCAAAACGGAGGAAGGUGGGGAUGACGUCAAAUCAUCAUGCCCUUUAUGUCCCGGGCUACACACGUACUACAAUGGCGUUCAACAAUGAGUUGCGAACCCGCGAGGGGGAGCUAAUCUCCAAAAAGCGCCUCAGUUCAGAUUGCAGGCUGCAACUCGCCUGCAUGAAGUCGGAAUUGCUAGUAAUCGUGAAUCAGCAUGUCACGGUGAAUACGUUCCCGGGCCUUGUACACACCGCCCGU
rnacentral:rRNA from 1 species